UCUUGGUCAUUUAGAGGAAGUAAAAGUCGUAACAAGGUCUCCGUAGGUGAACCUGCGGAGGGAUCAUUACACAAAUAUGAAGGCGGGCUGGAACCUCUCGGGGUUACAGCCUUGCUGAAUUAUUCACCCUUGUCUUUUGCGUACUUCUUGUUUCCUUGGUGGGUUCGCCCACCACUAGGACAAACAUAAACCUUUUGUAAUUGCAAUCAGCGUCAGUAACAAAUUAAUAAUUACAACUUUCAACAACGGAUCUCUUGGUUCUGGCAUCGAUGAAGAACGCAGCGAAAUGCGAUAAGUAGUGUGAAUUGCAGAAUUCAGUGAAUCAUCGAAUCUUUGAACGCACAUUGCGCCCUUUGGUAUUCCAAAGGGCAUGCCUGUUCGAGCGUCAUUUGUACCCUCAAGCUUUGCUUGGUGUUGGGCGUCUUGUCUCUAGCUUUGCUGGAGACUCGCCUUAAAGUAAUUGGCAGCCGGCCUACUGGUUUCGGAGCGCAGCACAAGUCGCACUCUCUAUCAGCAAAGGUCUAGCAUCCAUUAAGCCUUUUUUUCAACUUUUGACCUCGGAUCAGGUAGGGAUACCCGCUGAACUUAAGCAUAUCAAUAAGCGGAGGA
rnacentral:rRNA from 3 species